rnacentral:rRNA from 1 species
AGAGUUUGAUCCUGGCUCAGGAUGAACGCUAGCUACAGGCUUAACACAUGCAAGUCGAGGGGCAUCAGUUUGGUUUGCUUGCAAACCAAAGCUGGCGACCGGCGCACGGGUGAGUAACACGUAUCCAACCUGCCUCAUACUCGGGGAUAGCCUUUCGAAAGAAAGAUUAAUAUCCGAUAGCAUAUAUUUCCUGCAUGGGUUUUAUAUUAAAGAAAUUCGGUAUGAGAUGGGGAUGCGUUCCAUUAGUUUGUUGGCGGGGUAACGGCCCACCAAGACUACGAUGGAUAGGGGUUCUGAGAGGAAGGUCCCCCACAUUGGAACUGAGACACGGUCCAAACUCCUACGGGAGGCAGCAGUGAGGAAUAUUGGUCAAUGGACGCGAGUCUGAACCAGCCAAGUAGCGUGAAGGAUGACUGCCCUAUGGGUUGUAAACUUCUUUUAUAUGGGAAUAAAGUGGUCCACGUGUGGAUUUUUGUAUGUACCAUAUGAAUAAGGAUCGGCUAACUCCGUGCCAGCAGCCGCGGUAAUACGGAGGAUCCGAGCGUUAUCCGGAUUUAUUGGGUUUAAAGGGAGCGUAGGCGGAUUGUUAAGUCAGUUGUGAAAGUUUGCGGCUCAACCGUAAAAUUGCAGUUGAUACUGGCAGUCUUGAGUGCAGUAGAGGUGGGCGGAAUUCGUGGUGUAGCGGUGAAAUGCUUAGAUAUCACGAAGAACUCCGAUUGCGAAGGCAGCUCACUGGACUGCAACUGACACUGAUGCUCGAAAGUGUGGGUAUCAAACAGGAUUAGAUACCCUGGUAGUCCACACAGUAAACGAUGAAU